GCAACGCAAUUUAGGAAUGGAACCAAUCCCAGCAGUCCAGUGACUUAUCACACCUUCAUCACUUGACCAUCAUUAAUGAGGACUGAAAUGUUUGUGGAUUCAUCAUAUACUUCAGAAGCCAUGGUUGGAAAGUAUUAAGGGUUUCAUGGACAUUGAUUCUGGAAGAAUUACCUCCUGGUAAUUCCUUCAACUUCAAGUCUUAAGUGCACGACAGCAAAUCUGGAGAGGGGUGCCCCCUGAAAGAUGUGAUGGGAGCUCAGGACAAGUUUCCAUAUCAAGAGGUGCUGCCAGGUGUACAAGACUGCAGAUUGUAAACCACAGCCAUCAAAGUACCUGCAUAAAAGAAGGUAUUGGGGAGUGCCAGAUGAUUUGGGUUGUCUACCAGUGAGUGCAAAGAUUCUGAACCGUCCAUGCUACAGAACACCACUGCACCAGAAGUUGCUCAAAAGCUGCCUCCACUAUACUAUACCAGACCAAGACACCUGCAAAAGGAAUGUUUCCAUUGUAUUGCAAUUACCAGUGCACACAGAGUUUCGGCACAGCAGGCUCCAGACUAAUACUUCACUCUUUUGCCAAUAUAAUGUGCCACUCAAGCUCUUAACGUAGUACAGAACAAUGUCACAAGGCUGAUCCAGGGGAAGGAGAUAUAAUGAAGGGAAAUACUCAAUUAAAAACAAAGUGCUGUAAAAACUCAGCAGGACUGGCAGCAGAUGUGGAAAGAGAAACAGAGUUUAUGUUUCAGGUUGGAUGACCUUUCGUCAGAAUGGGUUGGACCUGAAGGAACUGAGUGCAGCCAGUUCAGAGGGAAACAGCUUAGAGUGCAUGAAGGGAGCAGAGAAAUUGAGAUGGUUGAUGAGACCUGUCCAUGCUUUGAUGAGACCUGUCCAUGCCAUCAGCUCUCAAAGAAAUGAUCGAGGGGAUAAGAGGCCAGAGGGAGGGGUCCACGUGGAGUGAGAAUACUGAAAAUGGGUAACAGUGUCCACUGUGUGGUGGGAGAAGACUCCUGACCAAAAAAGUGGGCAUGGAAGCAAAGGUGACUGAAGAAAAACUCAACGUCACAGUGAGCUCUGUUCAUUGCAGUGGGGGAGUACAGCAAUAGAGCUGACCUCUUUGCUAAGGAUAGGUAGUUCAAGUUCAGAAAGGAGAAGUUGGAAUCAAUACCUGCCAAGAGAUGAGAGUAGAAGGAGGGAGGGCAUCAGUAGCAAGUGAGAGGGAAGAAAGAUCUGGAUGGGUGGUAGUAACCUUAAGUUGUGGGAGCUUGUGAUCCUUAACACCAGAAAGGCAGAACAAAUGUUUUUUAAGGUGUCUGUGUUAUGAUCUCAUUGAGACUAGUAACUUAUUUUAAAAAGAAGAAAUCUGGAAUUCUAGCUAUUUACUGAAAGAAUUAAGCCACAAGAUUCCACAGUUUAAAACAAAAUAAUUUUUACUAUACAAGAGUCAAACAAAGCAAACACCUAUUACUAAUUGGGUAACCACAUAUACUCUAAAUGACUGAACAUAAAUAUGAGUUGACAAGAAAAUUGUGGUUGAUUGUAAACUAUAAAUUACACAGUAAUUGGCAGAUACAACUAAGACAGAUCUUUCAAAUUGGUUCGGCAGUCCACUCAGCAUAAAAUGCCAUGAAUUUCAGUCACAAGGCCAUUCCAAACCUUGUCUUCCUCACAAAGGAUUUCAGCUUCUCCUCUUCUAGGAUUUAGCUUGAACCCCAGCCAACAGCAGCGCACAACUAACCCAAGUUCCAUGGGCAUGGUCUCUGCUAAAAAUGGCACAUGCUUGCAGAACCUUGUCAACUCUGCUUACAACGUCCUGGUUGGUGUAGAUCCGCUAAUGUUACCUUUAAGUAACAGAAGCAGCUGCAGCAACUGUAUAUUUGUCUAUUCUCGGCUUCUGGAUAGAGCUCCAACAUCUUCAGCUUGUCGGUACUGCACCACUGGAAUCGUCAUCUGAGCUCUGAUGGGUCUUGUCCUUUUAUAUGGUUUCAACCAAUUUCAGUCUCCCCAGAAGUUUUGGUUUCCAAUUUCAGUUUCAGUCUUAAUGUUCUUAAACUGGAAGGGUCAAUUUCCUUUUUCAGUUUACUUUUUUUAAUUGGGGUCUGUCUCAGAAAAUACAACCUUUGAAACCAUGGAUUCCAUCACAGUUCCAACCCACUUUAUGGGAAAAAAAGAGCUUUACUGUAGUAAAGUUUUCUUUACAACA